rnacentral:rRNA from 1 species
GACGAACGCUGGCGGCGUGCCUAAUACAUGCAAGUCGUGCGGACCUUUUAAAAGCUUGCUUUUAAAAGGUUAGCGGCGGACGGGUGAGUAACACGUGGGCAACCUGCCUGUAAGACUGGGAUAACGCCGGGAAACCGGGGCUAAUACCAGAUCGUUUUUUUCCUCCGCAUGGAGGAAAAAGGAAAGGCGGCUUCGGCUGUCACUUACAGAUGGGCCCGCGGCGCAUUAGCUUGUUGGUGGGGUAACGGCUCACCAAGGCAACGAUGCGUAGCCGACCUGAGAGGGUGAUCGGCCACAUUGGGACUGAGACACGGCCCAAACUCCUACGGGAGGCAGCAGUAGGGAAUCUUCCGCAAUGGACGAAAGUCUGACGGAGCAACGCCGCGUGAGUGAAGAAGGCCUUCGGGUCGUAAAACUCUGUUGUUGGUGAAGAAGGAUAGAGGUAGUAACUGGCCUUUAUUUGACGGUAAUCAACCAGAAAGUCACGGCUAACUAC